UAUGAGUAAGAUUAUUCCAACAUUCUUGAUCAAUGUCGAUGUUGACAGCGGCAUAUGGUAUAGCGUUGGGAACAAGCUCAUUGCCAAGUGCAGAGAAAUUCUCGAAAAUCAUCAAACAUCAAUUCAAACCAAUAUACCUCCAUGGGAUAAAGCUUGGUGAAUUUUUGGUUGCUGAUUCGGAUCUUCAACAUGCAGGAUUAUACAGUAGCAGUAUCUGUUAUGAAUCUAAAAGUGCCGAAGUAAGCAGCUAAGGCCAAAGAUCAUGUUCAAUGUUGAUGCUGUGGAUUGAAGGUAUACGAUUACAUCAAUCAAAAUGACAUAAAUGGAAGUAUUAAGAUGAAAUGUGCACGAAAUUAAUGGCCAAUUAGCCAAAUUAGUUUUAGCACAAACAAUGAAAUGAAGGUAUUACAUCAAUGAAGAUAAUAUGUAAGUGAGGAAUGUUUACAUUAAGAGCAACUACAGUAAUGCCAAAGCCUAAUAGAUUGAAGUAAUGGAUUCUUCUUUUCCAUUCAUUUCGAGUUUCCAGCAUCUCAAUCAAUAAGUCUGAUAGAGAAGGGUGAUGACAACCAACUCACAGUAAAACUUAGUCACAUCUCAAAUCAAUGUUUACAUUAGCAACUAACACAAAAACUAAAGG